rnacentral:misc_RNA from 1 species
AAAUGAUGAAGAUGAUGAGGAAGAAGAGGAUGUAACAGGAAGGAUGCAGGAGAGACCAGAUGCGAGAGUCACAGUGGGCGGCGUCACCUAUCAAAUCCCACCAGCUGGGAUUCAUGUGGAGUGAUGAUUGCAGCUCUACGUUUCUGAUGCAUUUUUAUUAAAAAAAAAAAGCACUUACCAUAUCAAGACAUUAAUUUUUGAAUAUUCACCAAGAUUUUAAGCUGUGGUAGUGAAUUUGACUGAUAUUUUUUCACCCACCCCUGCAUGAAU